GAAGCCACCUAGCAUCGCGGUUGCAACGGCGUCUUCCCCACUCCUGCUCUGCUCUCGUCCCCGUGUUGGAAUGGAGGCACUCCGCACUCCUGAUGUGUCAUCCUGAUGUCGGCAGAACCUAAGCCUUCAUCUGAAGGCGAUUCUGGUGGUCCUCCAUGGAGGAAGACACUAGAGACUUCUUGGCAGAUUGCACUGUGUAUGUCCGGAAUAAGACCUCUAACAAGCCCAGUUCCAUCAUUCUUCAGCCACAUAGCCCUUGACUUUUUCACCAGUCUCCCGCCUUUCAAAGAGGGAGCUACUGUACAAGCAAUGCAGGGGGGACGAGGAACCCAAAUCUGCUUCCUCGCGGGAGUAACGUCACAGACAUGCGCAAUUGCGCAGUGGCAAUCGAGAAAGCAGAGAGAUAAGACAUAACAACAAUGGCUGAAGUGGAGAAAGAGGGAGCGCGAAAGAUUAUUGACGCACCAAAGACAUUGAAAGCAGGCAUAUGGAGACAUUUUGGCUUCUAUGAGGUUGGUGGGAAACUUGGCCAAACUUAUGCGGUGUGUAAAAAAUGAAAGGCUGCUACUGUGUGUAAAAAAAAAAAAAAAGAAAGCCCUGG